AUACAGAGGGUGCAAGCGUUAAUCGGAUUUACUGGGCGUAAAGCGCGCGUAGGUGGCUAAUUAAGUCAAAUGCGAAAUCCCCGAGCUUAACUUGGGAAUUGCAUUCGAUACUGGUUAGCUAGAGUAUGGGAGAGGAUGGUAGAAUUCCAGGUGUAGCGGUGAAAUGCGUAGAGAUCUGGAGGAAUACCGAUGGCGAAGGCAGCCAUCUGGCCUAAUACUGACACUGAGGUGCGAAAGCAUGGGGAGCAAACAGGAUUAGAUACCCUGGUAGUCCAUGCCGUAAACGAUGUCUACUAGCCGUUGGGGCCCUUGAGGCUUUAGUGGCGCAGCUAACGCGAUAAGUAGACCGCCUGGGGAGUACGGUCGCAAGACUAAAACUCAAAUGAAUUGACGGG
rnacentral:rRNA from 1 species